UGCGUUUAUAGCUCAGUCCGUAGAGCACGAGACUCUUAAUCUUAGGGUUGUGGGUUUGCGCCCCAACCUGGGCAA